rnacentral:rRNA from 1 species
CUGGAGGUAUCAGAAGUGCGAAUGCUGACAUGAGUAACGAUAAUGUGGGUGAAAAGCCCACACGCCGGAAGUCCCAGGUUUCCUGCACGACGUUAAUCGGAGCAGGGUGAGUCGGCCCCUAAGGCGAGGCUGAAGAGCGUAGUCGAUGGGAACCAGGUUAAUAUUCCUGGACUUUUUAUAAGUGGUGAAGUGGGGACGAAGAAGGCUAGGUGAGCCAGGCGUUGGUUGUCCUGGUACUUGCAUGUAGGGGGGAAGACUUGGCAAAUCCGGUUUUCCAUAACUCUGAGGUGCGAAGUGGUUCUGACCUUUUGGUACAGAGAAGUCAUUGAUGCCCGGCUUCCAGGAAAAGCUGCUAGCCAUAACUUAUAGAGAACCGUACCGCAAACCGACACAGGUGGACAGGUAGAGAAUACUAAGGCGCUUGAGAGAACUCGGGUGAAGGAACUAGGCAAAAUGGUACCGUAACUUCGGGAGAAGGUACGCCCUUUCUGGUGAUGGGAUUUACUUUCAGAGCUGGAGAGGGCCGCAGAGACCAGGUGGCUGCGACUGUUUAUUAAAAACACAGCACUCUGCAAAUUCGUAAGAAGACGUAUAGGGUGUGACGCCUGCCCGGUGCCGGAAGGUUAAUUGAUGGGGUUAUCUUCGGAGAAGCUCUUGAUCGAAGCCCCGGUAAACGGCGGCCGUAACUAUAACGGUCCUAAGGUAGCGAAAUUCCUUGUCGGGUAAGUUCCGACCUGCACGAAUGGCGUAACGAUGGCCACACUGUCUCCACCCGAGACUCAGUGAAAUUGAAAUCGCUGUGAAGAUGCAGUGUACCCGCGGCUAGACGGAAAGACCCCGUGAACCUUUACUAUAGUUUUGCACUGGACUUUGAUGAUGACUGUGUAGGAUAGGUGGGAGGCUGUGAAGUGAGGACGCUAGUUCUCAUGGAGCCGCCCUUGAAAUACCACCCUGUUGUUAUUGAGGUUCUAACUUGGUCCAGUAAUCCUGGAUGAGGACAGUGUAUGAUGGGUAGUUUGACUGGGGCGGUCUCCUCCCAAAGAGUAACGGAGGAGCACAAAGGUACCCUCGGUACGGUCGGACAUCGUACCAAGAGUGUAAAGGCAAAAGGGUGCUUGACUGCGAGAGUGACGGCUCGAGCAGGAACGAAAGUUGGUCUUAGUGAUCCGGUGGUUCUGAAUGGAAGGGCCAUCGCUCAACGGAUAAAAGGUACUCCGGGGAUAACAGGCUGAUACCGCCCAAGAGUUCAUAUCGACGGCGGUGUUUGGCACCUCGAUGUCGGCUCAUCACAUCCUGGGGCUGAAGCAGGUCCCAAGGGUAUGGCUGUUCGCCAUUUAAAGUGGUACGCGAGCUGGGUUUAGAACGUCGUGAGACAGUUCGGUCCCUAUCUGCCGUGGGCGUAGGAAAAUUGAGAGGAGCUGCUCCUAGUACGAGAGGACCGGAGUGGACGAACCUCUGGUGCACCGGUUGUCACGCCAGUGGCAUGGCCGGGUAGCUAAGUUCGGACGGGAUAACCGCUGAAAGCAUCUAAGCGGGAAGCCUCCCUCAAGAUGAGUUUUCCCAUGAAGCCCGUUGAAGACUACGACGUUGAUAGGCAAGGUGUGGAAGCGCAGUAAUGCGUGAAGCUAACUUGUACUAAUUGGCUGAUUG